rnacentral:tRNA from 1 species
GCCUGGGUGGCUCAGUCGGUUGAGCAUCUGACUUUGGCUCAGGUCAUGAUCUCACGGUCUGUGAGUUCGAGCCCCGCGUCGGGCU